rnacentral:rRNA from 1 species
ACAGCAGCCGCCACGGGAAUACGGAGGGAGCUAGCGUUGUUCGGAAUUACUGGGCGUAAAGCGCACGUAGGCGGCUUUGUAAGUUAGAGGUGAAAGCCUGGAGCUCAACUCCAGAAUUGCCUUUAAGACUGCAUCGCUUGAAUCCGAGAGAGGUGAGUGGAAUUCCGAGUGUAGAGGUGAAAUUCGUAGAUAUUCGGAAGAACACCAGUGGCGAAGGCGGCUCACUGGCUCGGUAUUGACGCUGAGGUGCGAAAGCGUGGGGAGCAAACAGGAUUAGAUACCCCAGUAGUCCCUGUCUCUUAUAA